rnacentral:rRNA from 1 species
GACGAACGCUGGCGGCGUGCCUAAUACAUGCAAGUUGAGCGAUGAAGCUUGGUGCUUGCACCAAUUUGAAGAGCAGCGAACGGGUGAGUAACGCGUGGGGAAUCUGCCUUUGAGCGGGGGACAACAUUUGGAAACGAAUGCUAAUACCGCAUAACAACUUUAAACAUAAGUUUUAAGUUUGAAAGAUGCAAUUGCAUCACUCAAAGAUGAUCCCGCGUUGUAUUAGCUAGUUGGUGAGGUAAAGGCUCACCAAGGCGAUGAUACAUAGCCGACCUGAGAGGGUGAUCGGCCACAUUGGGACUGAGACACGGCCCAAACUCCUACGGGAGGCAGCAGUAGGGAAUCUUCGGCAAUGGACGAAAGUCUGACCGAGCAACGCCGCGUGAGUGAAGAAGGUUUUCGGAUCGUAAAACUCUGUUGGUAGAGAAGAACGUUGGUGAGAGUGGAAAGCGCAUCAAGUGACGGUAACUACCCAGAAAGGGACGGCUAACUACGUG